CCUACGGGAGGCAGCAGUAAGGAAUAUUGGUCAAUGGACGGAAGUCUGAACCAGCCAUGCCGCGUGCAGGAUGACGGCCCUCUGGGUUGUAAACUGCUUUUAUAGGGGACGAAAAAAGGGAAUUCUUUCCCACUUGACGGUACCCUAGGAAUAAGCACCGGCUAACUCCGUGCCAGCAGCCGCGGUAAUACGGAGGGUGCAAGCGUUAUCCGGAUUUACUGGGUUUAAAGGGUGCGUAGGUGGGUUGGUAAGUCAGCGGUGAAAUCUUCGAGCUUAACUCGGAAACUGCCAUUGAUACUAUCAACCUUGAAUCAUCUAGAGGUAAGCGGAAUAUGUCAUGUAGCGGUGAAAUGCUUAGAUAUGACAUAGAACACCAAUUGCGAAGGCAGCUUACUAUGGAUGUAUUGACACUGAGGCACGAAAGCGUGGGGAUCAAACAGGAUUAGAUACCCUGGUAGUCCACGCCCUAAACCGAUGGAUACUCGACAUUUGAGAUAUACUUUAAGUGUUCUGAGAGAAGANAUUAAGUAUACCACCGUAGGAAGGUACGAGUCGUCGAAGAAGUUAGUUAAACGUUAAAGUUAAGUUAAGUUAGUUACGGCGUUGAGACGUUGCCGACGGACGACGACGAGGGGAGGUUAGG
rnacentral:rRNA from 1 species